rnacentral:rRNA from 1 species
GUGGGGAAUCUUAGACAAUGGGCGCAAGCCUGAUCUAGCCAUGCCGCGUGAGCGAUGAAGGCCUUAGGGUUGUAAAGCUCUUUCGCUGGGGAAGAUAAUGACUGUACCCCAAGAAGAAGCCCCGGCUAACUCCGUGCCAGCAGCCGCGGUAAUACGGAGGGGGCUAGCGUUGUUCGGAAUUACUGGGCGUAAAGCGCACGUAGGCGGACUGGAAAGUCAGGGGUGAAAUCCCGGGGCUCAACCCCGGGACUGCCUUUGAAACUCCCAGUCUUGAGUUCGAGAGAGGUGAGUGGAAUUCCGAGUGUAGAGGUGAAAUUCGUAGAUAUUCGGAGGAACACCAGUGGCGAAGGCGGCUCACUGGCUCGAUACUGACGCUGAGGUGCGAAAGCGUGGGGAGCAAACAGGAUUAGAAACCCUGGUAGUCC